rnacentral:rRNA from 1 species
AACGAACGCUGGCGGCAUGCCUAACACAUGCAAGUCGAACGAAGGCUUCGGCCUUAGUGGCGCACGGGUGCGUAACGCGUGGGAAUCUGCCCUUUGGUUCGGAAUAACAGCUGGAAACGGCUGCUAAUACCGGAUGAUGACGAAAGUCCAAAGAUUUAUCGCCAGAGGAUGAGCCCGCGUUGGAUUAGGUAGUUGGUGAGGUAAAGGCCUACCAAGCCGACGAUCCAUAGCUGGUCUGAGAGGAUGAUCAGCCACACUGGGACUGAGACACGGCCCAGACUCCUACGGGAGGCAGCAGUGGGGAAUAUUGGACAAUGGGCGCAAGCCUGAUCCAGCAAUGCCGCGUGAGUGAUGAAGGCCCUAGGGUUGUAAAGCUCUUUUACCCGGGAAGAUAAUGACUGUACCGGGAGAAUAAGCCCCGGCUAACUCCGUG